rnacentral:rRNA from 1 species
AUUGAACGCUGGCGGCAGGCCUAACACAUGCAAGUCGAGCGGAUGACGGGAGCUUGCUCCUUGAUUCAGCGGCGGACGGGUGAGUAAUGCCUAGGAAUCUGCCUGGUAGUGGGGGACAACGUUUCGAAAGGAACGCUAAUACCGCAUACGUUCUACGGGCGAAAGCAGGGGACCUUCGGGCCUGGCGCUAUCAGAUGAGCUUAGGUCGGAUUAGCUAGUAGGUGAGGUAAUGGCUCACCUAGGCGACGAUCCGUAACUGGUCUGAGAGGAUGAUCAGUCACACUGGAACUGAGACACGGUCCAGACUCCUACGGGAGGCAGCAGUGGGGAAUAUUGGACAAUGGGCGAAAGCCUGAUCCAGCCAUGCCGCGUGUGUGAAGAAGGUCUUCGGAUUGUAAAGCACUUUAAGUUGGGAGGAAGGGCAGUAAGUUAAUACCUUGCUGUUUUGACGUUACCGACAGAAUAAGCACCGGCUAACUCUGUGCCAGCCGCCGCCGUAAUAC